CUACGCCCUGGUACCUACACUUAGCCAUCGUAUAAAUAUCGCGGCAUUAGCCGUCGCAAAUAGCUCGAAGGCGAAAUUAGGUAUUUAUAGUGAAGGUCGUACGAACUUGUUGCUGCUGCUACUGCUGCUGCUGCUACAGUUACAGUUACAGCCACCUUCGCCGAGAACCCAUUGGUGGAGAAGGAUGAACUCACUCUCUCUCUCUCUUUCAUUCAACCGAAACUUGUCACUCGUCUUAUUCUCGAUCGUAAUAAAACAUAACCGCCGUUAAGUAUGAUACUGACCUUAGUCAAAAAUUUAUACAAAUUUAUUCGAUGAUAUAUAAGUAAUUAGACAGAAAGAAAAACAAGAAUAAAAGACACCCAUGGACAAAAUUCUGACUUAUUCCUUCAAAUAUUUGAACAGUGAGAAAAUUUCAAAAGUGUUGGGUUUAUUUUGAACAAUAGAAGAGAAAUUGAAUGAAAGAUACCUAUCGGAUUAUCGGGAAAAUUUCUAAAUGAUUAUUGGAAACUAUUUGGUUGAUAUUGAUCUUUGAAUAAAAUUUUGAAAACAAAAAAAACAAAGAAAAAAGAAAAGAAAAUCUCUCGGAAAACUCUUAUUUUUAAAGUCCGGCUAAUAAGGAUAUAAGGUCUGUCCCUAAAGAAAUACGAAGCCCUAAGGUUUGUUCAGUCAUAUCAUGGAAAAUCCUGAAGAAAAGAGGAUGAAAUUUUCUUGGCGCCUUGUAGGAAUUUGAAAAAGUUAAAAUGCGAAAGAGACUAAUAUCAAAGUUCGACCGGAAAACUUUCGAUUUUUUUGUGAUUUGAACUCGAAGCAAAGGAUCGUAUUUCAAAUGACACAUAAAUCAAAUAUACGAGUUAGUCGGAAAAGUCAUUUUUCUAACAAUAAGAGACAAAUAAGCAGAAAA